ACCGCAAUGCCUACAUGGUUGAAGUUAAGUCAAUGCAACCGAAGAAACUUACUGGAACCCAUUAUUAUCAAUAAGUUUCAUCCUUUCACGAGUUUCUAUAUACCAGGUGAUUGCUCAUCUUUAAGCAUUAUAUUGCUCAUCCAAUGCAUUGUUUCUCAAAUAGUACCUUUGUUCUUCUUCUUAAGCAUUAAUUCACUAAUAAUUUAAGCUUAGUUAGAAAUUGUCCCGAUGCUAGAUAGAUGAACUUAUAGCCGCAACGGAUGUCAAAUGAGUAAAAGUGCAAAAUCAAUUGUCAAAGGUGUAACUCAGUUGGCAUGUUUGGGGCCUUAAAGCUAGUAAUAUUAUGUUAUUCAGUACUUCCAUUCCUUUUUGUCAUGGAAAUUCAUAGGGGACAUAGCCACGAUUAUGAUAUAGCUUUUCUUUAUGUUGAUGAGCUGGUCAUGAGUUCUAACACUUCAAACCCUUAUGUUGCAUAGGUUCUGCUAAUUAUGUUCUGUUUGUAUUUUUGGUUACUGACAGAGUGAUGAUUUUGUUUUCUUUAGGUGGAGGACCGGCUGCUGCAGUUUUCACCGAGUUUGUCGCAUUGGAUCAAUGUGGUCUGAAAUACUUUUAUGUUGUCUGAAGGAACUUACUGAACAUCUGCCCUGCUCUACUCAAGUUCGAAAGUAACAAG
rnacentral:lncRNA from 1 species